rnacentral:rRNA from 2 species
CUGGCUCAGGACGAACGCUGGCGGCGUGCUUAACACAUGCAAGUCGAACGGAAAGGCCCUUCGGGGUGCUCGAGUGGCGAACGGGUGAGUAACACGUGGGUGAUCUGCCCUGCACUUUGGGAUAAGCCUGGGAAACUGGGUCUAAUACCGAAUAUGACCGCAUUCUUCAUGGGGUGUGGUGGAAAGCUUUUGCGGUGUGGGAUGGGCCCGCGGCCUAUCAGCUUGUUGGUGGGGUAAUGGCCUACCAAGGCGACGACGGGUAGCCGGCCUGAGAGGGUGACCGGCCACACUGGGACUGAGAUACGGCCCAG